rnacentral:rRNA from 1 species
GACGAACGCUGGCGACGUGCUUAACACAUGCAAGUCGAACCGAGUGGCGAACGGGUGAGUAACACGUGUGUGACCUGCCCUGCACUUCGGGCUAAGCCUGGGAAACUGGGUCUAAUACCGGAUAGUGUGGGAUGGGCACGCGGCCUAUCAGUUAGUUGGUGGGGUAAUGGCAUACCAAGGAGGCGACGGGUAGCAGGCCUGAGAGGGUGGACGGCAACAGUGUGACUGAGACACGGCCCAGACGCCUACGGGAGGCAGCAGUGGGGAAUAUUGCACAAUGGGCUGAAGACUGAUGCAGCGACGCCGCGUGGGGGAUGACGGCCUUCGGGUUGCAAACUCCUUUCACCAUCGACGCGGUAGAUGGAGAAGAAGCACCGGCUAACUACGUGCCAGCCGCCGCGGUAAUUC